CCAAUUAAUGUUUGAUUAAACAUUAAUCAAACAAAAUUAAAACAUGGUUAAAAAAAUAAAAACAUCACAAUGUCCGUUUUAAAUAAGCAACGAAAGCAUGGAAGAGCACCUUCAGUUGAUACUGUAAUGAAAUAAUAUUAUUGGCGAAACAGAUUUAGCAAACGCUCCAUAGUGUUUCUGAGUUUGAGAGAUGCAGCCAAUCAGAGAUGUUCGUUGAUCUCUUGAACUCAAUGGCUACUCAGAAGUGUGUACACCGCAGCCGAAGUUUUGUUCAGUGUUGAGUUAUGCUCGCUCCAGCGAAUCAUUAACAAAGAACGACAAGAUGCGCAGCAGAUCAUGUGCUACACAACUUCGGACCGUACGAAGUCGCCGAGAUGAGGACAUGCAGAGUCCAAUGAUGCUUCUGAGGACGUGCGUUGCUCUUUGAAGUGAGGAAGGAAGGACAGCAGUGUGGUUGAAUCAAGCAGGAGUGGUUAGCGCACACUGGAUUGAGUCGCAGGGUUCAGUUCUGGAAAAGAGUGGCUCAAGCACCUCUUUCAUUGCUCAGAGAAAUAAUGUGCGGUCGGAGAAGAAUCUGACACAGAUAGGGUGAUGAAUUCUGCAGAGUCAGUAAAAGCAAAGUGAUGCUGAAAAACACAUCUGUGCCGAUCUUGGACCACACUUCAAAGGCACAUGCUUCUCCUGAGGCAGCUGUAUGUAGCAAGCACUUUUAAUUUAUUCCUCUGGGCUGAAGUACUUUUUGUUGUUGUCUUGAUUUUUGUAUUUAAUUAUUAACUUUCUGGGACACGAGAUUUAGAAUGGAGAUGGCUGGAUGAGACAAAUCUAACAAGCCUCUGAAGAAAGUGCUGGCAACAUGACCGUUGAGAGAGCUCUCUCCAGCACAUGCCUCCCUCAUUAGUGUCCAGCAGCUGAAGACUCGAGGUCACAAACCCAAUGAGCUGCCCAUUUCAUUCAGCUUUGCCGACAUGGAAAGAUGACCACUGUGACCUAAUGUUGUAGUACAGUCUGACAGCACAUUGUACACAACAUACAAAGUAGCUUGAAUAACCCUUGAAUCUUGUGUGGAGUGCAUUAUUUUUUAUGAAAUUGCUGUAGUGUCCAACUUUUCAGCAUGCUUGUUGAUUUUAUUCAUUCAAUAAAUUGUGCAUUUUUCUAAAAGAAAGGGAACAGGUCUUGUGAUUUAUUUGCUGAACUGUGGGUGAUGAAAUAUUUAAUAUUCUGGGUAUUAAAAUGAUCAGUCUCGGAUCUGUUGAGAGGGUUGACAUGGUUGAAUCAGUGCCACACUAAGGAACUGCUGC